CGAUCACUUCAUUGAAAGUGUAGUACGGUUCAGGGAUGUCCAUCGGGCACUCCCUUAACAGCCAACAUGGAUUGAAAUGUUAGUUAAACUUGCUGCAUUGA
rnacentral:lncRNA from 1 species